UAGGGAUGAAACGACUGCUAAGACUGGAUAGGAAGAAAUAAGGCAUCUUUUUUCUUUUAAAAGACCUAGUGAUAGGUAUACUUUAGGAGGGGCUUGCGCCAUAUUAGUUAGUUGGUAGGGUAAUGGCCUACCAAGACGAUGAUGUGUAGCUGGACUGAGAGGUUGAACAGCCACAUUGGGACUGAGACACGGCCCAAACUCCUACGGGAGGCAGCAGUAGGGAAUUUUCGGCAAUGGAGGAAACUCUGACCGAGCAACGCCGCGUGAACGACGAAGUACUUUGGUAUGUAAAGUUCUUUUAUCAAGGAAGAAAAGCAAGUGGUGAACCAUUUGUUUGCCGGUACUUGAUGAAUAAGCCCCGGCUAAUUAUGUGCCAGCAGCCGCGGUAAGACAUAAGGGGCAAGUGUUAUCCGGAAUUAUUGGGCGUAAAGGGUGCGUAGGCGGUCUAGUAAGUCAGUGGUGUAAUGGCAACGCUCAACGUUGUCCGGCUAUUGAAACUGCUAAACUUGAGUUAGAUAGAGGCGAGUGGAAUUCCAUGUGUAGCGGUAAAAUGCGUAAAUAUAUGGAGGAACACCAGAGGCGUAGGCGGCUCGCUGGGUCUUAACUGACGCUGAGGCACGAAAGCGUGGGGAGCAAACAGGAUUAGAUACCCUGGUAGUCCACGCCGUAAACGAUGAGUACUAAGUGUCGGGUUAAACCGGUACUGAAGUUAACACAUUAAGUACUCCGCCUGAGUAGUACGUACGCAAGUAUGAAACUUAAAGGAAUUGACGGGACUCCGCACAAGCGGUGGAUCAUGUUGUUUAAUUCGAAGAUACCCGAAAAACCUUACCAGGUCUUGACAUGUUUUUGCAAAAUGAUAGUAAUAUCGUGGAGGUUACCAGAAACACAGGUGGUGCAUGGUUGUCGUCAGCUCGUGUCGUGAGAUGUUAGGUUAAGUCCUAAAACGAGCGAAACCCUUAUCGUUAGUUGCCAGCACGUUAUGGUGGGGACUUUAACGAGACUGCCAAUGAUAAAUUGGAGGAAGGUGAGGAUCACGUCAAAUCAGCAUGCCCCUUAUGACCUGGGCUACAAACGUGAUACAAUGGCUGUUACAAAGGGUAGCUGAAACGCAAGUUCUUGGCCAAUCCCCAAAAACAGUCCCAGUCCGGAUUGAAGUCUGCAACUCGACUUCAUGAAGUUGGAAUCGCUAGUAAUCGCGAAUCAACAUGUCGCGGUGAAUACGUUCUCGGGGUUUGUACACACCGCCCGUCAAACCACGAAAGUUGGCAAUACCCCAAAACGGUAGCCUAACUCGUUUAUUCGAGAGGGCGCCGUCUAAGGUAGGGUCGAUGAUUGGGGUUAAGUCGUAACAAGGUAUCCCUACCGGAAGGUGGGGAUGGAUCA
rnacentral:rRNA from 1 species